AGCUGGUCCGAGUGCAGUGGUGUUUACAACCAAUUGAUCACAACCAGUUACAGAGUUCUUCAUUCCUUCUUUACUCCCACUGUUUCGCUUGACUAAUAA
rnacentral:Y_RNA from 1 species